rnacentral:lncRNA from 1 species
AUACUGUGAACCAUCUAUUAGAAUAGGAGGCAAUUGAAGGUUCUAAAAUACCCAUCUUCACCUUCUCUUUUAGUAGUUCUAUCAACUUUGGAAGUAAAGCUCUGGGCAUAGGUUUAGGCUUUAAAUCCCAUGGAACAUGCGGCACAGUAAAGAUUACCAUAGGUACUACAACAUUAGGAUCCACACAUCCAAUUUCAACAGGAGUUGAGGCAAAUGCCUUACCAUACCUAAUAAGCAUUUCUUGAAAUAUAAUUUUCUCUGUUGAUGUCAAGAAAUCACCCCCUCCAAUCUUCAAUUUAAUUAAUGAUUCUUAAAUAAAUUGAUGCCCAAUUCCACGUCCUUCUCUUAGACUUAGCUCCUUAAUUGCUUGGUUGAUAUGAUCUAUAGUAUCAACUGGUAAUUGAGUAGCUAUAGGCUUUACCUUUCUUGCUACAGCUUUAUAUUUAGUUUGUAUUCUAGCUUCAUGUUUCAAUCCAUAGCUUGUAGCAAGCCCACCAAUUACCACUAUCUUUUCUAAUUCUUCAUAAGUCUUUCUUGAAUAUAUUUCUACUAUAGCAUUUUCAUUUAUGCUUAUAGCUAAAUUUUCAAGAACCUUUAUCAAAUUAUCUUCUAAACCUAUUUCUUCUAUUACUCCAACUAUGGCUUCAUCACUUGAAACUAAAUCCACUCUUUUUAAGUUUUUCUCUUGUUUCUUCACCCUUCUUCUAUGUAUAGAAUCUAAAUCUUUAAUCUUUCAAAUAUUCACAAAUCCAUUAUUAGUCAAGUUUAAAAAUCCAAAAUUCAUAUUAUCUACAAUAGGAUUUGUAGAUGACUUAUUUGCAUCCAUGUGUCCCCUCUAUACAAGGGUUCUUUCUAAAAAUCCACAAAGUUGUUUCCUAGCUCCAAAGGCAUCCCUCUUAAUUGUUCUCUAUGCCUUUCAUGAAUAGGUUUUACAAUAAUAAACUACACAGCUUUCCUUCCAUCUCAACUACGAAUCUUAACAUAAUGUGAACUAUCAUCCAAGACUCUAGUUUCCAUUCUAGUAGCUGUAAUAUAAGAUUGACCAAGUAUUACCGGAUAUGCAGCAGAGUUUUGCACGAAGAAAUUUUGCUCUACUUCCACAUCUCCAAUUCUAGUCCUUACAGCUGGACAAGCUCCGUAUAAAUCACCUUGUUAGUUGUUUGCAGCUCUAAUUACCCAACCAUGAUUGGUAUCAACUGGCCACUUAUUUUUUUCAUAUAUUCGCCUUGACAUGAUAUUGAUUUCUCAUCCAUGAUCAACUAAAGCCAAAAUUGGAUCUUUAGAAUCUCCCAACCUCACAUAUGUCUUCAUAGUAGCUCUAGCCCAAUAAAGAAUUGAAUAGCUACUACUUCCCAUUCCAUCAUUAUCACAUUUAGAACAAGUAUUCACACAUGCUUUUUGUACAUUCUUCUUUAUCCCAAUAAUUUUUAUAGAUGUACAUUUCAUUUGAUGCUUAUCUAUACCUUCUUCAUAUUUAUUUAAAGCCUCAUUCUCUAUAUCAACCUUAAUUCCAGCUUUUGGUAUUGCAAAUUGUGCAAAUACUUACCUUAUCUCUUCUUUC